rnacentral:lncRNA from 1 species
CUAAACCUUUUUCAAUCACGUAUCACAUACCCUUAUUCAAAUAUAAGUAAUUUAAAUGUCAAACAUUUUUCAAAGUCCCAAUAAAUUUGUAUUGUCUUCUGUUUAACAGUUUGAUUACUACCUUCCAUGGUUCUGGAAAAUUGAAUUUAAAUCUAUGAAGGUUAAGGUAAAAAAAUGAGCUUUACAUCAUUCUUAGUUUUUGUAUUAUAGAAGAUAUAAAAAUCUUUGGAAAGACUUUAAUUCAGUGCCUUUUGUGAGUUGGGAAAUUAUGUCAAAACUCAGUGGACUGAAUAUUAAUAAAACUUUCUUAGCAUCUUACUAGACUCUGUAGAAAAAGAAAAAAAU